rnacentral:rRNA from 1 species
UACGGAGGGUGCGAGCGUUGUCCGGAAUCAUUGGGCGUAAAGGGCGCGUAGGUGGCCCGGUCAGCGUGCGGUGAAAGCUCGGGGCUCAACCCCGAGUCGGCCGUGCGAACUGCUGGGCUCGAGCACUGUAGAGGCAGGCGGAAUUCCGGGUGUAGCGGUGGAAUGCGUAGAGAUCCGGAAGAACACCGGUGGCGAAGGCGGCCUGCUGGGCAGUAGCUGACACUGAGGCGCGACAGCGUGGGGAGCAAACAGGAUUAGAU